rnacentral:rRNA from 1 species
UACAGAGGGUGCGAGCGUUGUUCGGAAUACUGGGCGUAAAGCGCGCGCAGGCGGAUCCUGCAAGUCUGGAGUGAAAUCUCACCGCUCAACGGUGAGGCUGCUUUGGAUACUGCGGAUCUGGAGACCGGUAGAGGCUGGUAGAAUUCCGGGUGUAGCGGUGAAAUGCGUAGAUAUCGGAAGGAACACCAGUGGCGAAAGCGGACUUCCUGGUCCAGCACCGACGUUCAGGCACGAAAGCGUGGGGAAGCAAACAGGG